rnacentral:rRNA from 1 species
UACAGAGGUCUCAAGCGUUGUUCGGAUUCAUUGGGCGUAAAGGGUGCGUAGGCGGCGUGGUAAGUCGGAUGUGAAAUCUCGGAGCUUAACUCCGAAACUGCAUUCGAUACUGCCGUGCUUGAGGACUGGAGAGGAGACUGGAAUUUACGGUGUAGCGGUGAAAUGCGUAGAUAUCGUAAGGAACACCGGUGGCGAAAGCGGCGCGCUGGACCUCUUCUGACGCUGAGGCGCGAAAGCCAGGGGAGCAAACGGG